AUCAGCAACACUUACUUUUCCCUGAAACAAGAUGAUGGUUACAAUGCAAAGGUUAGGAUUUUCUAUACAUCCUUACUCUUGUCCGUGGUAUUAUAAUUUAUAAAGCAUGGAGGCAGCCAAAAACGAUUCUUGUUUUUCACUUUUUAAUGAAAAUAUAUAAAGAUCAAGCAAACUGGGCACUUCUAGACAUACUAGUUCUAACAUAGCGGACUUACUUACAAGGUUCAUAAAGAAAAAAGUAUGAUCGCUUUCUGAUUCACAUUUUAGCCAAGAAAAGCUAAUGUAUCCACUCUUAAAACCAGCAUUAGAAUAUCAUCCUACCACGUCAUUGAUCUUUCCAGCAAUCACUUCUUCAUGUUAAAUCUUGAAUAAAAGGUUUGACAAGCAAAGUUUCUUUGCCUAGGCUCUCAAAAAGCCAAGUGUACACAUCAGUUUUUAACUUUUAUGUCUACUUCCUUACAGCUUGGAGGUGAUGAACUAUAUUCAAAAAUUGCAUUUGUAGUACCUUGAAAACUUGUAAACCGAGCG